CACGUAGGAGGCAAGCGUUAUCCGGAUUUACUGGGCGUAAAGCGCGUGUAGGCGGUUCGGUAAGUUGGAUGUGAAAUCUCCUGGCUCAACUAGGAGAGGUCGUUCAAUACUGCCAGACUAGAGGACGGUAGAGGAAGGUAGAAUUCCCGGUGUAGUGGUGAAAUGCGUAGAUAUCGGGAGGAAUACCAGUGGCGAAGGCAGGUCUCUGGGCCAUAACUGACGCUGAGAAGCGAAAGCAUGGGGAGCGAACAGG
rnacentral:rRNA from 1 species